CUUGUGUGUUUAUGUCGUCUUUUACCGCUAUUUAUUUCUGUUAGACUUGUAAACAUAUUUAUAUAACCUCUUCUUCUUUUUUAAAUAAUUUGUAAAAUUAAUGUGACCCCCUCCCCCUCCCUGAUAAGGCUUGGCUUUUGGGGAAAACGUCUAAAUAAAGUUUAUAUAAAAAAAGUUAAUUAAGUAAAGGAGUGGUCAUUAUUUAUGGGGGGAGGGGGUGGUUGGUAAACAGGGGAAAAUAAGGAUUGAAAACUUU
rnacentral:lncRNA from 1 species